GUUACGGCGGUCAUAGCGUCGAGGAAACGCCCGGUUCCAUUCCGAACCCGGAAGCUAAGCUCGAUUGCGCCGAUGGUACUGCACUCGGGAGGGUGUGGGAGAGUAGGUCGCCGCCGGACAUC
rnacentral:rRNA from 2 species